AGGAAAUUGCCCUGAUGUGGGGGAUAACCAUUGGAAACGAUGGCUAAUACCGCAUGAUGCCUACGGGCCAAAGAGGGGGACCUUCGGGCCUCUCGCGUCAGGAUAUGCCUAGGUGGGAUUAGCUAGUUGGUGAGGUAAGGGCUCACCAAGGCGACGAUCCCUAGCUGGUCUGAGAGGAUGAUCAGCCACACUGGAACUGAGACACGGUCCAGACUCCUACGGGAGGCAGCAGUGGGGAAUAUUGCACAAUGGGCGCAAGCCUGAUGCAGCCAUGCCGCGUGUGUGAAGAAGGCCUUCGGGUUGUAAAGCACUUUCAGUCGUGAGGAAGGUAGUGUAGUUAAUAGCUGCAUUAUUUGACGUUAGCGACAGAAGAAGCACCGGCUAACUCCGUGCCAGCAGCCGCGGUAAUACGGAGGGUGCGAGCGUUAAUCGGAAUUACUGGGCGUAAAGCGCAUGCAGGUGGUUUGUUAAGUCAGAUGUGAAAGCCCGGGGCUCAACCUCGGAAUAGCAUUUGAAACUGGCAGACUAGAGUACUGUAGAGGGGGGUAGAAUUUCAGGUGUAGCGGUGAAAUGCGUAGAGAUCUGAAGGAAUACCGGUGGCGAAGGCGGCCCCCUGGACAGAUACUGACACUCAGAUGCGAAAGCGUGGGGAGCAAACAGGAUUAGAUACCCUGGUAGUCCACGCCGUAAACGAUGUCUACUUGGAGGUUGUGGCCUUGAGCCGUGGCUUUCGGAGCUAACGCGUUAAGUAGACCGCCUGGGGAGUACGGUCGCAAGAUUAAAACUCAAAUGAAUUGACGGGGGCCCGCACAAGCGGUGGAGCAUGUGGUUUAAUUCGAUGCAACGCGAAGAACCUUACCUACUCUUGACAUCCAGAGAACUUUCCAGAGAUGGAUUGGUGCCUUCGGGAACUCUGAGACAGGUGCUGCAUGGCUGUCGUCAGCUCGUGUUGUGAAAUGUUGGGUUAAGUCCCGCAACGAGCGCAACCCUUAUCCUUGUUUGCCAGCGAGUAAUGUCGGGAACUCCAGGGAGACUGCCGGUGAUAAACCGGAGGAAGGUGGGGACGACGUCAAGUCAUCAUGGCCCUUACGAGUAGGGCUACACACGUGCUACAAUGGCGCAUACAGAGGGCGGCCAACUUGCGAAAGUGAGCGAAUCCCAAAAAGUGCGUCGUAGUCCGGAUUGGAGUCUGCAACUCGACUCCAGGAAGUCGGAAUCGCUAGUAAUCGUG
rnacentral:rRNA from 1 species